rnacentral:rRNA from 1 species
ACGAACGCUGGCGGCGUGCUUAACACAUGCAAGUCGAACGGAAAGGCCCUGCUUUUGUGGGGUGCUCGAGUGGCGAACGGGUGAGUAACACGUGAGUAACCUGCCCUUGACUUUGGGAUAACUUCAGGAAACUGGGGCUAAUACCGGAUAGGAGCUCCUGCUGCAUGGUGGGGGUUGGAAAGUUUCGGCGGUUGGGGAUGGACUCGCGGCUUAUCAGCUUGUUGGUGGGGUAGUGGCUUACCAAGGCUUUGACGGGUAGCCGGCCUGAGAGGGUGACCGGCCGCAUUGGGACUGAGGUACGGCCCAGACUCCUACGGGAGGCAGCAGUGGGGAAUAUUGCACAAUGGGCGGAAGCCUGAUGCAGCAACGCCGCGUGCGGGAUGACGGCCUUCGGGUUGUAAACCGCUUUCGCCUGUGACGAAGCGUGAGUGACGGUAAUGGGUAAAGAAGCACCGGCUAACUACGUG